GGCGUGUUGGUUUUAUGUGCCAAUUGAAAGCAGCUCGCAUUAUUGUUGCUGGAUGAGAUUUAAAAUGAAUAUGUCAAAAAGAGAAGGAUGUUAGUAUUGGAAAUGCUUUUGUUUAAGAACACCAAAGACAUGCUAAGGAAAUUGAUGAAUAUAAUAUUUUGUUGCAGCCUGUUUCUCUCUCAUGUUCAUCCAGAUAUUGCCUACUGAAUAUCGUUGUUUAUAUUUUCUUAACUGUUGUAGCAAAUUCAAAACCCAACUGCAAU
rnacentral:misc_RNA from 1 species